AUUGAACGCUGGCGGCAGGCCUAACACAUGCAAGUCGAGCGGAUGAAGGGAGCUUGCUCCUGGAUUCAGCGGCGGACGGGUGAGUAAUGCCUAGGAAUCUGCCUGGUAGUGGGGGAUAACGUCCGGAAACGGGCGCUAAUACCGCAUACGUCCUGAGGGAGAAAGUGGGGGAUCUUCGGACCUCACGCUACAAGAUGAGCCUAGGUCGGAUUAGCUAGUUGGUGGGGUAAAGGCCUACCAAGGCGACGAUCCGUAACUGGUCUGAGAGGAUGAUCAGUCACACUGGAACUGAGACACGGUCCAGACUCCUACGGGAGGCAGCAGUGGGGAAUAUUGGACAAUGGGCGAAAGCCUGAUCCAGCCAUGCCGCGUGUGUGAAGAAGGUCUUCGGAUUGUAAAGCACUUUAAGUUGGGAGGAAGGGCAGUAAGUUAAUACCUUGCUGUUUUGACGUUACCAACAGAAUAAGCACCGGCUAACUUCGUG
rnacentral:rRNA from 1 species